CUUGGUUGUUUUUGUUGAUAAACAACGGCACACAAUCUUUUGGUUUUCUCGUUUUGGCGGCUUUCGUCGUAAUUGGAUAUUUCGACGUUUACGGUUGGAACGGUGGUAAGAUGUGUGAUAUUCACCUUAUUUAUGGUUAACCGGUGCUCUUGCGUAAAAAGCCAUUAUUAUACAUAGUAAUGAUGUAAUGAUAACACGUUUUGGUAAUUAGAAUUAAAAAAGAGAUGAAUAAUUAACUGAGCAUUGAGAGAUAAACAUCUUAAAGCUGCAUUAUGAGUAUGAGAGUUCGAUUACACUGUUAAAAAAAAUGGAAACUUUUUUGUCACAUGAACAUUAUGUAAAACAUUUGUAUGUAUGUACUAGAGCCACCAAACAAAAAUACAUCCAUGGAAAAAUAUGCAUGUAUGUACACAUCAGAUUUUAUUGUGACAUCAAUAUAUCUAUUUUCAAAAAAAAAAAGGUACACAAAUCUACACUAGACAAAAUUUCAUUGCUUAACUUACAAUAAAUACUUCAAAUUUUCGUGAAUAUUUGGCCUUGGGAAGGCCGCUUCUAAGUCUCCAACAUUCAUCUACUGGCAUUUUUGGAUUCAAUUUCUCUUAUUAACACAUUACCAUUAAGGAAAUACCCUGAAGGAUCCUCCCACCUUUGCCGGGAUGAUAUAAAAUUGAGAGCAGAGCAUACCAAUCGAACUCGUAUGCCAGCGAUAUUGCGCUGAAUAUUCUCUUUCAAGGAGUCAAUCGCCUCGGGCUUUUCUGCGUAGACAGGCGACUCUUCACAUAACCCCACAAAAAAUAGUCCAGCAGUGUUGAAUCACACGAUUUUGGAGGCUACGUCACAUACCCACGAGAUUCUGCGCUCAGUAAAAGUUCCCUUUAUUAAAUUAUUUGUUUGGCUGUAUGGCAUCUUGGCCGACCACAUCAAUAUCCUCGAAUUCAGGCACGAAAAAGGCCAUAAUCACGGUUCUAUGUCCCCAAAGACUGUAACAUGGAACACCUUAAACACGGGACUUUAGAGGUUAUAACGUCGUCUCAACAAUGGCUUGCGAAUGUUAAUUAUUUAUUAAAAUCCGGACUUUUUGAUCGAACAAGCAGAUAGUGGCGACCUGCGUAUAGGCUUUUUGACCGAAGUCAAGCUUGGAUAGUGAAUUGAAAACAAGUACAAGUUAAAUAGUCAAACAAGUCAUAUUUUGAGCCCGAUGAGUAUUUCAAAAUUCUGAAUGGCAUGUGAAAUGAAAUGAAGGAGCUUUAUUAUUAUUAUUGCCAUCGAACUUUGUUCAACUUUCAAGUCAAAUCGAUUGUUUAUUAAUCACUUGAAAUUAUUCAAAAAAUGCGAAUAUACGUGAGCCUGCAACUCAGUCAGCUGUUGGUGUAACACAUUGUUUACUGAUUGCAUAAUAUUUUUUUUAGUAAUUCGAAUAUAAAAAAGAGGAGAGUGAAUAAAGUAAGCCUGCACUCAUAACAAAUUCGAGAGCCAAUUCUUUAUUUGACAUUUUUGUUAAACAACGCGAUGUUUGUAUGUGUCAAGCGCCCAAAAACAACGUGCAUAUGUGGAUACCGUAAUUCAUGUAAAGUGCGAGUGCGAGUGCGAGUGUGAGAGCGAAGAGUGUGUGUUGGCGCAUAUUGCAUUGUCAUGAAAUUGAUUGGCUGUAAUAAAUUUUGAAGGUUAAUUGCGCGCAUACAAAUCGAAUUACAUUUUAUGUGUAGAUAAAAAUAAACAAAUGGCUAAAAAAUGAUGCCUUCGCUAUCAAAAUAUUAUUUUUACAUUAUUUUAACGUGUGUUUUUUUUUAACUAUGGUUGUUUUUUAUAGUUUUUUUUUUUGGGUUAUCUCAAGUGACCAGAUAUCGCAAAUACAAUUGUAUGUACGUAUGUAUGUAUGUAUAUAUGUCAAUAAUCAACAACUGUUUUAAUAAACUGUGAUUGAUGUGAAUAAUGGAACUAACAAAAUAACAAUCCUUUUAUAUA